rnacentral:lncRNA from 1 species
ACGAAUUAUUGUAAUAUUUAAGUACCUGUAUUUUACAGUACUUGAUUUGUACUUGAAAUUUAAGUACUACAUAUUUUUGGUUGCACAAUUACAUUUUCAGCAUUUUGUUUGUCUUUUUUCAAAUCUCAUGAAGUUAUGAUGUUCAAACAUGGAAUACUGUGAUCAUUGUUGGUAUCAUUUUUGUACCAAUAUUUUGAGUACAAAUAAAGUACUGGAAAAUACAAGUACCUAAAUAUUACAAUUAUUUUAAAGUAAAGAAAUA